rnacentral:lncRNA from 1 species
AUACCUAAUAUUUCAACGCAUAGAGAUAUAUUUAAGGGGAAAAUAGAGGAGACAAAAAGAGUAAUAGGGUUUUUAAGAUUCUUACCAACCAGAGAGGCUCGAAGCGCAUAGAAAGAUGACGAGUGACAGAUCAGCGGAGGGAGAACAAGAUCUGAGAAGAACGACAGAGAAAAUGAAAACAACAAAAUUGAGAUGUGAGGCUCAAAUGAAAUCAAUUAACUUUGCUCACCGAGAGACCAACGAACCUGAGAUGAAAACAACGAACUCUGCUCAACGAGAGAAAGAAAGGGAAGGUCCGUCACUUGACGAAGAAUGAGAAGCUUUGUCAGAGAUUUAAGGAUUAGUUAUUAGAAUUGAAUGAUGAAAGAGUUAGGGGUUUGGAUUUGGAAGGAGUUAGGGAUUUGAAAACUUGUUCGGGAUUUGUAGUUGCAGAAGUUAGGGAUUUGAAACCUAUAGACCGGCGAUGCGGUGAUGAAAGGGUUUUAACGUUUCAGAAGUGUUUUGCCUUUUAGAAGUGUGUUUUGCUUCUUUUGUCU